GCUUCCUGCAGAACAAGUGAGAGUGAAUAUGAGUGCCUCAAGGCAGAAGAAGCAGUCUUUUGGAACGUGGUCUUGGAAGUAACAUGUAUCACCUCUACUUGCUUCUGUUGCUAGAAGCAAGUCAUCAGCCUCCAUGCAAGGAGAGGAGACUAUAGGAAACACGAAUACCAGGAGGAGGGGAUCACUGGGGUUCAUCUUAAAGGCUGUCUACUAUAUACUAGAUAAUUGUUAUAAAAAUUAAAGAAUUCUAAAAUCUUACUGUUCAAGGAGAAAUAAAAAUCAACCAUAAGUUAUUAUUAAGUUUUAAACAAAUCUUUCUCCCUCUCCCCCCUUAAUAAUCCACACUCAUCAGUUUUCUUGCUCUCUUUCUUUUUAGGGAAAAAAUGCAUUUUUCAAAGACCUAACUUCAAUUCAGUUAUUACCUAGUGGGGAAAUGGAUCCAAAUUUUAUUUCUGUACGACAACAGUUCUUAUUGAAAGUUGUCAGUGCAGCUGUCCAGGCCCAACAUUCAGCCACAAAGGUCAAAGAUCCCACAGAAGAGGCCACACCCACUCCUUUUGGGAAAGACCAAGAUUGGCCAGCUCUAGCUGUGGAUUUAGCCCAUCACCUUCAAGUUAGUGAAGAUGUUGUUAGAAGGCAUUAUGUGGGGGAACUAUACAACUAUGGAGUUGACCACUUAGGAGAAGAGGCCAUUCUACAGGUUCAUGACAAAGAGGUCCUUGCCUCUCAGCUGCUGGUGCUCACGGGGCAAAGGCUGGCUCAUGCGCUUCUCCACACCCAGACAAAAGAAGGAAUGGAGCUGCUUGCCAGACUUCCACCCACACUGUGUACUUGGCUGAAAGCAAUGG
rnacentral:sRNA from 1 species